rnacentral:lncRNA from 1 species
AUGGACGAUUGCAGGAACAAACUGAAGUUUGCUUGUUGCCUGUGCAAAAUGGUGUGUGAGCAUGAAGAGUUGCUGCUAAAGCACAUGACCGAAAAACACCCCUCAGCUGGGUAUGUCUGUGCAUACUGCCACAAAGUUUUCUCAAGACAGGACACUUUCAAAAAUCAUGUCUGUUUGAGAAGACCAACAGGCACCAUAAACUUGCCGGCCACCCCGGUAACCCAGUUACCUGCCGUGCCUUUAUCCGGCAGCAGCAGUCAAGUAAGACCUUUUGCCCCUGCUUUGUACACCAAUAAAAACCCCAUUCAAAUUAUCAAAAUAACUCAGACAGGGAACAAAGUUUCCACAACCCCUCAUCCUACACCUGCGGUGACCACCUUGGGAUCAGCCAAAGCUUUAACUCUGCACCAAUUGCUUCAGGCAACUCCUGUGAUUCCUGCUAAGGUGACUGACAUGGUUCCACAAGUUGUGGCAGUGCCGCAAACUCUUGUCAGGCCCCAUUUCCCUCUGAGAACUUGUGUCCCUCGCCCGAAAGUUCCUGUCCUUUUAUCUUCGGUUGUGCGCCCCUUAAUCCCAAAUCCGGCCAGGAUGACAAUUCGUAUCCCUACCCCUUCCAAUCCACCUCUUCCAGCUCAAGUAGUUGUAUCCUUCUCACCUACUGUGAACGUCUUUACACCCAGGCUAGUAUCAGCCAACAGGCCUGUUCUGAGACAAACGCCUCCGGUUAAUAUUAGACCCCUACCUGUAAACAUUCCACAGACCUCGGUCACUUGUCCUACCCUGGUCAGGACUCUUAUUGGGAACAACCAGCCACAGAUCCCUCCUGCCCAGGUUAAGGCUCCGUUACAAAUAUUGGGCAUGUUUGUGAACCGAAGCAGGGAUUUGGCUCUGCAGAAGCGACUCAAGCAGAGUUGGCGCUCAAAGACCAUCUUCUCCUGUCGUCACUGCGGUGUGAUCUCGAGACAACCAUCGCUGAGGGUGCGUCAUCGCUACUUACACCGCGGGUCAAGGUUGUACAGAUGUCAGUGCGGAAGGUCGUUCCAAAGGCAGCUGCAUUUGCUGAGACACCAGGUUCAGCAUGCGGAGUCAGUCCGAUUUGUUUGUGCACGAUGUGGAAAUACAUUUGAAGGGGCGCAUAAACUGACCUGGCAUAAACGGAAGCAUAGAAAUGGCAGGCGGUGUGUGAAGAAGAAAUGCAUGACGGCUUUUGACUGUAGCUGUGGACAGAUGUUUACAAGGCCGUCUGCACUGUUGUGGCACAUGCUUAAAAACUCAAAUCUUUCAAACCGCACUCGAAAAAACUCACAAUCUGUCUCUGUUUGA